rnacentral:tRNA from 1 species
AAAAACAUGGUUUAAAAAUAAAACAUUAAGUUGCAAACUUAAAGAUGGUAUUACCUGUUUUUU